UACGGGGGGUGCGAGCGUUGUCCGGAAUCACUGGGCGUAAAGGGCGCGUAGGCGGCCUGUUAAGUCAGACGUGAAAUCCCUCGGCUCAACCCGGGAACUGCGUCCGAUACUGGAAGGCUUGAAUCCGGGAGAGGGAUGUGGAAUUCCAGGUGUAGCGGUGAAAUGCGUAGAUAUCUGGAGGAACACCGGGUGGCGAAGGCGACAUCCUGGACCGGUAUUGACGCUGAGGCGCGAAAGCCAGGGGAGCAAACGGG
rnacentral:rRNA from 1 species